UACGGAGGGUGCAAGCGUUAAUCGGAAUUACUGGGCGUAAAGCGUGCGCAGGCGGUUUGUUAAGUCUGUUGUGAAAUCCCCGAGCUCAACUUGGGAAUUGCAAUGGAUACUGGCAGGCUCGAGUAUGGUAGAGGAAGGUGGAAUUCCCGGUGUAGCGGUGAAAUGCGUAGAUAUCUGGAGGAACACCGGUGGCGAAGGCGGCAUCCUGGACCAACACUGACACUGAGGAGCGAAAGCCAGGGGAGCAAACGGG
rnacentral:rRNA from 1 species